GUCCCCAUCGUCUAGCCAGGUCCAGGACACAGGCCUUUCACGCCUGUAACACCGGUUCAAAUCCGGUUGGGGACGCCA
rnacentral:tRNA from 1 species